rnacentral:rRNA from 1 species
GACGAACGCUGGCGGCGUGCCUAAUACAUGCAAGUUGAGCGCUGAAGGUUGGUACUUGUACCAACUGGAUGAGCAGCGAACGGGUGAGUAACGCGUGGGGAAUCUGCCUUUGAGCGGGGGACAACAUUUGGAAACGAAUGCUAAUACCGCAUAAAAACUUUAAACACAAGUUUUAAGUUUGAAAGAUGCAAUUGCAUCACUCAAAGAUGAUCCCGCGUUGUAUUAGCUAGUUGGUGAGGUAAAGGCUCACCAAGGCGAAGAUACAUAGCCGACCUGAGAGGGUGAACGGCCAAAUUGGGACUGAGACACGGCCCAAACCCCUAAGGGAGGCAGCAGGAGGGAAUCUUCGGCAAUGGACGGAAGUCUGACCGGGCAACGCCGCGGGAGUGAAGAAGGUUUUCGGAUCGUAAAAAUCUGUUGGUAGAGAAGAACGUUGGUGAGAGUGGAAAGCUCAUCAAGUGACGGUAACUACCCAGAAAGGGACGGCUAACUACGUG